CGGGAUCACAGGCGUUCGCCACCACGCCUGGCUACACUGCUUCUCAAGAUGCUGUUUAUUGUUCGCCCACAGCUCCAGCUUCCUCUCUGUGCGGUCUUUGCCGAUGGCAAGAACAGACAGGCUUCUCGGGGCCUUCAAGGCGUGGGCACAGUGCGCUGGUGCUGUUUGCGUCUGCGCAGUGCCUCCCUGCGGCCCGACCGGAAGCCGCUGGGGUCUUGGGCACUUCCUGUGCGCCGCGGUCUCCCAAGGAAGACGGUGUUGCGUUGGCUUUAUUUAUCAUGGAGGAAAACGGGGCUUAGGAAUCAGAGUAGGGUUCGAUGGCGCAGGAGUGAGAACUAGGAAGCCAGUGACUCGGUUUCCCCGACAAUCCCUGCGCACUGCUGCCAAGGGGUCCCGAAGAGACCCGGCCAGCCCUGUCCUCCCAUCGUCCGGGCGCACUGAGGAGGCCCAGACACCGGAAGGAAUUGCACGAAGAUGGAAAUAACAAUCCUCGUGAGCGGCUAACUACUGGCCUCUUUCUGGAAUCCGCAGUGCCACGUGAGACCACUGUUACUGCACGUUCACGUCCUCCCUGAGAAACUUCGGAAGAGAAAUCUGGACGCUCCAGGAGCCGCUGUUUACCCAGAGGGAUUUACAGAUGAGAGUUUGCCUUAAGUCUCAGAGGAGAUUUUGGAUUUGGAAUUUUGAGCAGUGCUGGAACUGUUGAGACUUUGGGGAGAACAACAUGUUUUCAGUUGUAGCUGGGAUUUACAAUUUAGAGAAAGCCAAAUUUGAAGAAGUUGAUCUUUCCUGCUUACACUGGUUAGAUUUUGGAAAUCUGGAAAUGGAGCCAUUGGCAUUUCAAGAAAGUUCUGUCUGGAAAAAUAAAUUCUGUGACUUGUGUGCAACCCUUGAGAAGAUAGAGAACAUGGAAUGUGAGGGAGAACAAAGGACUGCAGGUGGUAGCUCUGAAAAUGAAAUCCUUAAAGUGUGGAAUUCCGUGCCGAAUAAUUGUAAGUCAAUGAAAGCACUUGGGAUUGCUUUUCUUACUUUGUUUGGAACAUCUCAUGUUUGUGAGCAGUUGUGUUCAGUUUUGAAUUCUAUCAAAUCUGAUACAGGAAACAGACUGACUGAUGAUGACCUGAGUCUGCAUGUGUUGCUCUCAAGCUAGCAAAGUGUGAGCCAAGGUUGACAGAUUAUCAGAUGCAUAGGACAGCAAGAUCACAUUAAUGGUGCAAAAGCAUGCCAAAUGCAAAC
rnacentral:lncRNA from 1 species